AUUCAUCUGACGAGUCCCAAAUAGAACGAAAAGCGCGUCGUGGAU
rnacentral:hammerhead_ribozyme from 1 species